rnacentral:rRNA from 1 species
UACACAUGCAGUCGAACGAUGAAGCCUUUCGGGGUGGAUUAGUGGCGAACGGGUGAGUAACACGUGGGCAAUCUGCCCUUCACUCUGGGACAAGCCCUGGAAACGGGGUCUAAUACCGGAUAACACUCUGUCCCGCAUGGGACGGGGUUAAAAGCUCCGGCGGUGAAGGAUGAGCCCGCGGCCUAUCAGCUUGUUGGUGGGGUAAUGGCCUACCAAGGCGACGACGGGUAGCCGGCCUGAGAGGGCGACCGGCCACACUGGGACUGAGACACGGCCCAGACUCCUACGGGAGGCAGCAGUGGGGAAUAUUGCACAAUGGGCGAAAGCCUGAUGCAGCGACGCCGCGUGAGGGAUGACGGCCUUCGGGUUGUAAACCUCUUUCAGCAGGGAAGAAGCGAAAGUGACGGUACCUGCAGAAGAAGCGCCGGCUAACUACGUGCCAGCAGCCGCGGUAAUACGUAGGGCGCAAGCGUUGUCCGGAAUUAUUGGGCGUAAAGAGCUCGUAGGCGGCUUGUCACGUCGGAUGUGAAAGCCCGGGGCUUAACCCCGGGUCUGCAUUCGAUACGGGCUAGCUAGAGUGUGGUAGGGGAGAUCGGAAUUCCUGGUGUAGCGGUGAAAUGCGCAGAUAUCAGGAGGAACACCGGUGGCGAAGGCGGAUCUCUGGGCCAUUACUGACGCUGAGGAGCGAAAGCGUGGGGAGCGAACAGGAUUAGAUACCCUGGUAGUCCACGCCGUAAACGUUGGGAACUAGGUGUUGGCGACAUUCCACGUCGUCGGGUGC